GCAUAACGCGAAGAACCUUACCUGGCCUUGACAUUGAUAGAAUCUGCUAGAGAUAGCGGAGUGCCCUUCGGGGAGCUUGAAAACAGGUGCUGCACGGCUGUCGUCAGCUCGCGUCGUGAGAUGUUGGGUUAAGUCCCGCAACGAGCGCAACCCUCGUCACUAGUUACUAACGGUUCGGCCGAGGACUCUAGUGAGACUGCCUUCGUAAGGAGGAGGAAGGUGAGGACGACGUCAAGUCAUCAUGGCCCUUACGGCCAGGGCGACACACGUGCUACAAUGGGAUGUACAAUGAGACGCAAUACCGCGAGGUGGAGCAAAUCUAUAAAACAUCUCUCAGUUCGGAUUGUAGUCUGCAACUCGACUACAUGAAGCUGGAAUCACUAGUAAUCGUAGAUCAGCCAUGCUACGGUGAAUACGUUCCCGGGUCUUGUACACACCG
rnacentral:rRNA from 1 species